rnacentral:lncRNA from 1 species
UGCUUAAGUAAAUGAUCUCAAUUGUAUUACUUUCUUUCAAAGAAUACAAAAUACAAUGGAUGCAUGGAUUCUAAUGAAUGAUUUACAAGUGAGGGGGAGACUCUCUAUUUAUAGUUGAGCUCCCCCAAAACCAGUGGUCUAGAUCGAGUUACAUCGACGAAUGAGAUUAGUCUAUCCCUAAAAUCAAGGGAUUUACAAGAUUACAUAAUCUAUUUACAUAUCUAAUCUUACAAGAUAUGGCUCCCCUCAAUCUUCUAAAAUUAGUUUCCCUAUUUACUAAUGUAAUAGACCAAUUUUGGCCUGGCUAAAAAAUCAAACAAAAAUCAAAUAAUGACAAAAAUGUCCAGUCCAUUUACACGGCCCAAAUGUCCAUUAACCCAAUGGCCCAGUACAAAUGGCCCAAAUACUUAGCCUAAACACAGAAACCCUAAGUGGUUAGCAGCAAAUUGGCGCCGCAUGCCCCACGUCACAGCAAUCGCCCACGUUCAGCAGCUUCUGUGCACGCCGCGCAUGACUUCUCGCCAGUGGUACCUGCAACAAGCCACGAACAGCGAGCGAGAGACGAAUAUAGCAGGAAAUACGACAAAAAUAGAAAAGUGGGGUAUUGAAAAAGGUUGUAUUGAAAAUAUUAAAAAAUACGAAAACAAAGGGUCAAAAAAUAAUUUUGAAGGUGAUUUUCUUUUUUUCUUUUCUUUGUUUAUUUUUGUUUUUUCUUCUUCUUUGCAAAACAAAAAGAGCAAAAGGGGAUAUACUUACCUGCGCGGAGGCGAGGACGGAGCCCUGUUUUGCUCCGUCCAGAUCGGAGCUAG